rnacentral:rRNA from 1 species
AUACGAAGGGGGCUAGCGUUGUUCGGAAUUACUGGGCGUAAAGCGCGCGUAGGCGGACUGAUCAGUUGGGGGUGAAAUCCCGGGGCUUAACCCUGGAACUGCCUCCAAUACUGUCAGUCUUGAGUUCGGGAGAGGUGAGUGGAAUUCCUAGUGUAGAGGUGAAAUUCGUAGAUAUUAGGAAGAACACCAGUGGCGAAGGCGGCUCACUGGCCCGAUACUGACGCUGAGGCGCGAAAGCGUGGGGAGCAAACAGGAGUAGAAACCCCAGUAGUCC